UUGACCUAUGUGAUACUUGAUAGUGUCAUUUAUGGAAUAUCCUAUGGAAGCGGCAGAAUUUGUAAUCGAAGGGUAGUAGAUAAAUGAAAUAAGAGGGAUUCUCUUGUUUGUUUGGUUGUGGUGAGGUGAAGUAUCAUUUAUGAUCUUCAAUCAACACUUAAGCUAACUAAAUCUGUAGUUGAGACUAUAAGUAGGUUUGUUUGUGGUUGGAAAUAACAGCGUAAAAGAUGAUGAUGAAUAAGAGGAGACCACCUGUUGUCUUCCUCCCAUGUGUGCGUGUGAGUGUGGUUGUGUUUUUAGUUUUAGUGUGUUUUAAACCAAUCUUGGGCGAUCAGAAACUGCGGUUUGGACGAGAUGGGGAGUUUAAGAUACUGCAAGUGGCUGACAUGCAUUAUGCGGAUGGCAAGACCACGCCUUGUGAGGAUGUUCUUCCAACCCAGGUCGCUGGUUGCUCUGACCUCAACACUACCGCUUUUGUCAACCGCAUGAUUUUAGCUGAGAAGCCCGAUCUUAUUGUUUUCACUGGUGAUAACAUCUUCGGAUUUGAUGCCACAGACGCCGCAAAAUCUCUGAAUGCUGCAUUUGCCCCAGCAAUUGCAUCAAACAUCCCAUGGGUAGCUGUUUUGGGGAACCAUGACCAGGAAUCGACUCUCUCAAGGGAAGGAGUCAUGAAACAUAUAGUUACUUUGAAGAACACUUUGUCUCAAGUCAAUCCUCCGGAGGCACAUAUUAUUGAUGGCUUUGGGAACUAUAACUUGGAGAUCGGUGGGGUUGAAGGUUCAAGUUUCAAAAACAAAUCGGUUCUCAAUCUCUACUUCCUUGAUAGUGGAGAUUACUCAACGGUUCCUGCCAUUGGUGGCUAUGGAUGGAUCAAACCUUCCCAGCAGCUCUGGUUUGAACGCACUUCUGCCAAGCUGCGGAGGGAAUACAUGAGCAAGCCAGCUGCUCAGAAGGCACCCGCACCUGGGCUUGCAUACUUUCACAUACCAUUGCCUGAAUUUGCGAGUUUUGAUUCAUCGAACUUCACAGGUGUUAAGCAAGAAGGCAUAAGCUCUGCUUCUGUGAACUCAGGCUUCUUUACAACCAUGGUAGCAGCAGGGGAUGUGAAGGCUGUUUUCACAGGCCAUGAUCACAUCAAUGACUUCUGUGGUCAGCUUACUGGUAUACAACUUUGUUAUGCUGGGGGUUUUGGAUACCAUGCCUAUGGAAAGGCUGGAUGGGAAAGGAGGGCGAGGGUAGUAGUAGCCAGUCUGGAGAAACUGGAGAAGGGAGGUUGGGGAGCAGUCAAGUCAAUCAAAACAUGGAAGCGCCUUGAUGAUGCACACCUUACUGCUGUUGAUGGUCAGGUCCUCUGGAGUAAGAGCUCUUCAGGGCCUUCAUUUCAUGAUCAAAAUAAUUUAUUUCAAUGUGGAACAAGCAUUCUUCUACUCCCUUCUGAAUCAUGUUCCAUGCUAUAGAGCCACUGCCACACCAUGACAGUUUAGGUUUCGUUUGGGUGGCCAAGGCCUAGGUGCUACUUCAUUCUUACUUACCUUUUAUUGGUGUUCGCAGAAAGAAAAAGAUUCAUGGUGCUUAAGAGAUGUCGUGCAUGACAAAACUAUUUAUGUGGAUGCUUUACUGCUAGCCUAGCUUUGAAGAAUAUGGUUCCAGAAGUUAUUCAAUGGGAAUGUUGUCAUUGGCAAUGGUAUUUAAUAAUAUCUAUCUGUACCAUUAAAUAAUUGUGUGUUGAAUGCGGUGUAUUGUCUACAGAUCUCAGAAUUUCAGGAUAACGACAGUGAUAAUCUAUGCAAAAGUAAAGUAGGAAACUAGGUUAUGAUAUUAUGGGAAGAAGAAUCCUGUAUUAUUCCCAAAAUGUUGCCAGAGAGCGCUU